rnacentral:rRNA from 1 species
UACGAGGGGUGCAAACGUUAUUCGGAAUGAUUGGGCGUAAAGGGUGCGCAGGCGGUAGAUUAAGUCAACUGUUAAAUUCCUCAGCCUAACUGAGGGCAUGCGGUAGAUACUGGUUUACUAGAGGAUGGAAGAGAGAAGUGGAAUUCUCGGAGUAGCGGUAAAAUGCGUAGAUCUCGAGAGGAACACCAAUGGCGAAGGCAGCUUCUUGGUCCAUUUCUGACGCUCAUGCACGAAAGCGUGGGGAGCAAACAGG